rnacentral:rRNA from 1 species
AUUGAACGCUGGCGGCAUGCCUUACACAUGCAAGUCGAACGGUAGCGGGCCUUCGGGUGCCGACGAGUGGCGAACGGGUGAGUAAUGUAUCGGAACGUACCUUUCAGUGGGGGAUAACGUAGCGAAAGUUACGCUAAUACCGAAUAGUCUGUGGGCAGGAAAGAAGGGGAGCGCCAGACCUUGCGAUGAUUGCGCGGCCGAUAUCAGAUUAGCUAGUUGGUGAGGUAAAGGCUCACCAAGGAGACGAUCUGUAGCGGGUCUGAGAGGAUGAUCCGCCGCACUGGAACUGAGACACGGUCCAGACUCCUACGGGAGGCAGCAGUGGGGAAUUUUGGACAAUGGGGGCAACCCUGAUCCAGCCAUGCCGCGUGAGUGAAGAAGGCCUUCGGGUUGUAAAGCUCUUUCGGCCGGGAAGAAAUCGUAUCAGCUAAUACCUGGUGCGGAUGACGGUACCGGCAUAAGAAGCACCGGCUAACUACGUGCCAGCCGCCGCAGUAAGAC